GCUCCUGCUCCUGCCUCAACUUUCCAAAGUGCUGGGAUUAUAAGUGCACGCCAUCAUGCCCGACCUGACUUGAUGACUUCUUAAGAUUCAGUGAAGCCUGACUCAUUGCUCCAGCUGGAGAGUUGAUUAUGACACAAUGCCUGCCUUGAAGAGUCUCAAGCUUAGCUACUUUAGAUCACAUUUCUAAUGCUCUGGCAGCUCCUCACCCCAGAGGGAUUUUCACUGAGUAAGG
rnacentral:lncRNA from 1 species